AAUAUUUUUUACCCUGAAUUUCAUUCCAAACCCUAAUAGCGUCUCCUUCAUCACGCUCACAAUCGUCUCCCUCCCCACCACUCGCGUCUCCAUCUCUCCCAAACCCUAAUCAACUCUAUCUACUUCCCUCAAAACAUACGCAGAGUAGAGGUGGAGAUGGAGUUAGCUAGAGAAACAUAUACAGAGAAGAGGCGGGAUAACAGGGGCUGCCGGGACCUUCUGUUCCCACCGUCGGUUCUAUCCACCACCGUUCAGGCUUCAGCCACACCACCUCGCCGAGCCUCUUACGCCACCUUCGACCUUCGAGGACGGUGGACGAGCUUGGAUUACAAAGGACACUGGUUAUAGACCAUUUAGAAGAACUAGAGCGGCUUCUCAACGGGAUUUCUGUACUAAAGGAACCGGUCUGCGGGUUGUGGGUAGUAACCGAUGAUGCGAUCCAACUUCAAAAGCACAUCCAUCAAUUAUAAUAAAUCUAGAAAAUGAUGGACAUUUUCUUAUGGACAAAGCUUAUGGUGUAAGUACAUAUAAUGAUGUCCAAAUAUUUGAUACAUAAAAAAAUGAAUUUUAUCAUCUUCUAUCAAAGAAGCAAAGAUCCUUGGUCCUAAAGUACCAUAGUACAAUACAAAUUGUAUUAAUAUAUCUUGCUAGUUAUAUACGAACAUAUAUCUUUAAUUUCAUUGGCAAGAUAUAACUCAUGUACAAUGAGGAGAUAAUGUAAUGGAUAAAACAUAUAUUUUCUAUACUCUUAAGGUACGAAAGAUAUGGGUUCAUAUUUUACUAACCCAUCAACAAGUUUGGUUAGUUUUGUAAAUGCAGGGAUUAUAACAAAACACAUUCAUGGAUUAUGGUAUCUGCUUACAAGAGGAGGCAAUUAAAGUUUCACAUGAAGAUCAUACAUCAACGCUCAUUGAAGGAUUGUACAUCAAGAGAUUAAACAAAAAUUACUUACUACAAAAGUUUUCAGCAACUUUCAUAGAAGAUCAAAUUUCAUAGAAGAUUGGCACCUAUUACUUAAAUGAUACAUAUCAUAAUGAGAGGGAGUUUUACACAAGUUGCACUCUUUUUUCCUUCGCUAAGUUUUAUCCCAUUGGGUUUUCUUAGUAAGGUUUUUAAUGAGGCAACGUACAUUGGAAUCUCUAUAAUUGAAAAAAAAAAUUAAAGGAAAUACAUGAAGCAUUUUUGGUCAA